CCUGGCCUGUCUGCUACAGUCUUCUACAGACAGACAGACAGACAGACAGACAGAAAGACAGACAGACAGACAGACAGAGACAGACAGACGGGACAGAAGAACUUUGUCAAACUCAGCUCUUUGACACACUCGUACAUAACUCAUAAUCAGACAAAGUCUGCUGGGUAAUGGCUGCUCUCAGGGUUUUUCUCCCUCUCGCCAUCUGCCUCCUGCUGGGGCAUCAGACGUUCGCCCAGAUGUUCGCCCAAAAUAACGCUCCCUGCCAGAAGUCCAAGUGGAACAACGCCUUCAACACCUUCGUCAAGCGCCCAUUCGCGCCGGGUUGUCCACCACUCUCGACCAGAACAAAUGGGAAGAGUACAUUACGAAGAACAACGACUGUGACAGACCCACGCAGUCUUUCCUUCGUCGUGAAGAGCUGGACAGGGUGAAGGCCGUGUGCACGAAGGCAGGCGGGAAGACGUACAAGGGGAACCUGUGCAUCAGCAACCAGCGUUUCACUUUUGUCACAGUGAGGAUCGAGUUAAGCCCUGCACAAUCAAGCGCGUGAAUCAGGAAAACAAACAUCUGAUUCUGGCCUGUGAUAAGCUGGCGGAUGGGUGUCUGCCUGUGCAUUUUGAGGGAAACCCUGAUGAUAAAAGCCCCGACAACAACGCAAAAAGCUGCCAGGCCCCUCAGAGGAGAGGCCACGCACGCAGCUUUAAAAUGUCAGGGCUCCAAUAGUUCCUCUUUUAAUUUGAGGAACAUGAGACGACAACAGAGUUUCUAUUUGGGGCAUUUGAGCAAAACUAUUACAAUUACUGAAAUUUAAAUUAUAGAAUUUAAGGUUUUAAACCCCAAUAUGUAAACCAUUUUUUUACAGGACUUUUUAUAAAUGUAUUUGUUACUUGUAUUAUAUUUAAUACUAUGACAUGCUUGUGCCUGUGUAUCUGUAAGUUGUGCAUGAUCUAUCUUUUAGUGAUAUGUUUUCGAGGAUUGAUGCUCCAGUGGCAUUUCAUUUAGUUCUAUGAUUGCGAUUUGCAAUCAUUACGACUGCAUGCGUUGUGUGUAUUAAAAGGGAAUCAAUCACAUUUCCACACCAAAGGGAUUGUAUUUUAUUAUAUAUUGUGUGCGGUAUAUUUAAUAAAGUGAAUUCAGAAGAAUUUGUCUACAGUCAU